rnacentral:rRNA from 1 species
GUAAGUCCCAGUUCGGAUUGAAGGCUGAAAUUCGCCUUCAUGAAGCCGGAAUUGCUAGUAAUGGCAGGUCAGCAUACUGCCGUGAAUACGUUCCCGGGCCUUGUACACACCGCCCGUCACACCAUGAGAGUUGGGAAUACCCGAAGCCUGUGAGCUAACUUUUAGAGGCAGCAGUCGAAGGUAGAAUCAAUGAUUGGGGUGAAGUCGUAACAAGGUACC